rnacentral:lncRNA from 1 species
GUGGGAGACAGCUAAUACAUAGUUACAAGACAUUUAUUGCAUAGUCAAACCAUGGAUCCAGAAGAACAAGUCAAUAAGUGAAAUCAAGAUGUGCAUGUGUGGCAGGUGAAUGGUGUAUGGUGAUGAUGGUGAUAACAGUGGUGAAAGUCUAAUUCUACUUUUGCUCUUUUUAGGGGAUACAUACCUUUCUUGCACUUUGAAGCUUUUUGAGGAGAAUGAGAUGCUCUAUAUUUUCUUUUUCUUUCCUCUCAGGUGGGUAUCUUGUACCCCUAAUUCUACUGUCGGACACUUGUCCAUUUUUACCUCUCGUCUCACUUUUUCUUUUCUUCGAGGUUCCGGGAACUUGCCCCUUUUUAUUUCCUCGUAUCCUCUUUUUUUUACUAGAGCACUCAUCUCCUGAAACAAUAUAGCAAGU